rnacentral:rRNA from 1 species
GACGAACGCUGGCGGCGUGCCUAACACAUGCAAGUCGAGCGAAGUGCUUUAAGCGGAAUCUUCGGAGGAAGCUUAAAGUAUCUUAGCGGCGGACGGGUGAGUAAUGCGUGAGGAACCUGCCUUUCACAAGGGGAUAGCCUCGGGAAACUGGGAUUAAUACCCUAUGACACCUAAGUAUCGCAUGAUACCUAGGUUAAAGCGCAAAGCGGUGGAAGAUGGCCUCACGUCCCAUUAGCUAGUUGGUGAGGUAAAGGCUCACCAAGGCAACGAUGGGUAGCCGGCCUGAGAGGGUGACCGGCCACACUGGAACUGAGACACGGUCCAGACUCCUACGGGAGGCAGCAGUGGGGAAUAUUGCACAAUGGGCGAAAGCCUGAUGCAGCGACGCCGCGUGAGCGAAGAAGGCCUCGGUCGUAAAGCUCUGUCCUAUGGGACGGAUAAUGACGGUACCGAUAGGAGGAAGCCCCGGCCGUAACUAACGUGCCAGCAGCCGCGGUAAAGAGUAGUAACG